rnacentral:rRNA from 1 species
ACGAAGGGGGCUAGCGUUGCUCGGAAUGACUGGGCGUAAAGGGCGCGUAGGCGGUGAACACAGUCAGGCGUGAAAUUCCCGGGCUCAACCUGGGGGCUGCGCUUGAUACAUGUCCGCUUGAGUUCGGAAGAGGGUCGUGGAAUUCCCAGUGUAGAGGUGAAAUUCGUAGAUAUUGGGAAGAACACCGGUGGCGAAGGCGGCGACCUGGUCCGAUACUGACGCUGAGGCGCGAAAGCGUGGGGAGCAAACAGG